CAAUACAAAACCGUAAAUACUCGUACUAAACGAUUUGGAGGCGAAGAAUUUAUAAAAGUUCAACAAGAAAAUAAUUACAAACAGUAAAAGUGCUGCAAAAGUACUAAAAAAAAUAUUUAAAAAUCUUCACAAAGAAAAUAUUACGAAACUUAAUUUAUUAUUUAUUGUUACGACAUCCUCAGCGCUGUACGAAAAAGGAUUAUAAUCAGGGAUUACAGACCGAAGACUACAGAUGCAACAAGGUGAACGUUAGACACAUUGUAAAGGAAGUCAAUGCCUGAAUGCAAGGGACGCUGGCGAAAUAUGCGCGCCGCCUACGCACGCUCUAUUGACGCCUACAAGACUAAGCGUGGACCGAACCGUAGUAGGCCGUACUACUUAGAAGAGAAGAUGAGGUAUUUAAACCCUCACUUACUGAAUGAAAUAGCUGCAAUUGCCACGGUGAAGGACGAGGCUAUACUAACUGAUGGAAACGCAACUGAAGCAGCACAAAGUAAUGGACAAAAUAAUGAGAAAAAUAACUCUGAAACUAUCGCAAACGAAAACGACGUCCAUGAUAUGAAUAGUACACGCAAUAAUGAAACUUUUUCGCUGGUGACGCCUCUAAUUGACCAAAUGAACGAACAGAGUUUGCGAGAUUUGCAGCAAAUCAUUGACCGGAAACUGAAACAAACUAUUGCUAUAAAAAAUGAUAAUGACAACGAGUUGUCUGCCCCCAUGCAACAGCUACCACUGCAGGCAAUCAAGCAAGAACCAGAGUUAUCGAUAUGACUCUUUAAAGUAUUACAUAUACAUAUAUAACCUUUGUUGACCUUGUGGUCGGUACUAACACAUUUACUAAUUUAACAUUGACAUUUAACUGUAUUCACUACUAACACCAACAAUAAACGUACAAAUGCCUCCAAACACAGCAUAAAGUGCAUCAGUGCGUAUACAUAACCUCAGCGGAGAAACUCACCAGCGUUGGCCAGCUUUAUAUCGAAUCCAAUUUAAUUGGGAAUUUCGUUAUAUUUUAAGCAUUAUGAGUUAACAUCAGGCAACAACAAAAACAAACAACGCAUUUGUGAAGUUCU